GGUGCUGUAGCUCAGUCGGUAGAGCGAAGGACUGAAAAUCCUUGCGUCACUGGUUCGAUUCCAGUCAGCACCA
rnacentral:tRNA from 1 species